GAUGAACGCUGGCGGCGUGCCUAACACAUGCAAGUCGAACGGACUUACAUUGAAGCCUAGCGAUAUGUAAGUUAGUGGCGGACGGGUGAGUAACGCGUGGGUAACCUGCCUUGUACUGGGGGACAACAGUUGGAAACGACUGCUAAUACCGCAUAAGCGCACAGCUUCGCAUGAAGCAGUGUGAAAAACUCCGGUGGUACAAGAUGGACCCGCGUCUGAUUAGCUGGUUGGUGAGGUAACGGCCCACCAAGGCGACGAUCAGUAGCCGGCCUGAGAGGGUGAACGGCCACAUUGGGACUGAGACACGGGCCCAAAACUCCUAACGGGAGGCAGCAGUGGGGGAAAUAUUGCACAAUGGGGGGAAACCCUGAUGCAGCAAACGCCGCCGUGAGUGAUGAAG
rnacentral:rRNA from 1 species